rnacentral:rRNA from 1 species
UACGUAGGGGGCAAGCGUUGUCCGGAUUUAUUGGGUACGUAAAGAGCGUGUGAGGCGGCCAGGUAGGUCCGGUGUGAAAACUCGAGGCUUAACCUCGAGAUGUCAUCGGAAACCAUCUGGCUAGAGUCCGGAAGAGGAAAGUGGAAUUCCCGGUGUAGUGGUGAAAUGCGUAGAUAUCGGGAGGAACACCAGAGGCGAAGGCGGCUUUCUGGCCUGUAACUGACGCUGAGGCGCGAAGGCUGGGGUAGCGAACAGG